rnacentral:lncRNA from 1 species
AUGUUUAGAGCCCAAGUCCCGCUCCCGAAAGUUCCCUUUGAAAAAGUACUACCUCGCGGGGAAUUUUUUUUUUUACCCAGAACUUUAUUUAGAUCCUGGUUUCUGCUGUGGAAACACACCGAGUACCAGCCCAAAGUUCCUAGUUCCUGGGUAAAGUUCCAGCAGUGGAAACGAGGCUUAUGUGUGUGCGUUACAGUGCAGCAGCGCAUUAGAUUAGAACAGCGAUUAAUUUACCUGUACAAUAAGUUGUUUAAAACGUGCAUUCUCCCGUUCAAUUUCGAGCAUCCAGUAAUAUCAUCACACAUGUCUUGUGGAGCUUUCUGAGUAUACAUUUAUUUGACAUUUUAACUGUUUGGAAACGGAGCAUAAAUGUGGAAGUCCUUCAAAGGUUUAUUAUCCUGUUGUGCCCUCUAUAGGACCAACGACUAGUCAACAUCGAGCUUAGAGCGUCAUGGCACAGCAUUGAAGUCGACUCGUCGAUUAGUCUGUGCAACCCCUACUACUGACUUUGAAUGUUUUUUGUUAUGCUUGAGUAGAGAAGAUGAAUGAGUGAAACUCUUCCCGCAUACAGUGCAGUGAUACGGUUUCUCUCCAGUGUGGAUCCUCUCAUGUGUUUUAAGGUCUCCUGACUGACCGAAUCUCUUGUCACAGAGUGAACACUUGUAAGGUUUCUCUCCAGUGUGAAUCAUCUCAUGUGUUUUCAGAUUUCCUGACCGACUGAAUCUCUUGUCGCAGUGUGAACACUUGUAAGGUUUAUCUCCAGUGUGGAUCCUCUGGUGCAGUUUCAAUUGAUCAGCUGUAAUAAAUGUCCUCUUACACUCAAAGCACAUAUAUUCUCUCACACCAGUGUGUAUCUUCUGAUGAACUUUUAAAUUCUGCAAAUGUGAAAACCCCUUUCCACAUAAAGAACAUGAAUGUGGUUUCUCUUUUGAAUGUACUUUCAGGUGACCCUUCAGGUUUGAAGCCUUAAAAAAUGUUUUUCCACAUUGAUCACAUUCAUGCAGUUUCUCUCCAGUGUGGAUGAUCAUGUGAUCCUUAAGGGAUGAUGAUUGUGUGAAACUCUUCCCGCACUGAUCACAUGUGUAUGGUUUCUCUCCAGUGUGGAUCCUCAUGUGAAUCUCAAGACUAUGUUUGUUUCCGAGACUCAUUCCACACUGAGUGCAGGUAAAAGAUUUCUUGUCUCUACUUUUCUUUAAAUCUUUCUGUUUGGUUUGAGAGCAACUCAAAGGUUUUUCUCCAGUUUUGACAUGAUGUUUCUCCUCCUCUUCAUUCAGUUCUUCAUUCUCCUCGUUUUCUUCAAACAUUUUAAAAUAAAGUAAAAACACAUUUUUUAGCAAAUCACAAAGAGAAAUGUAAGAUGUUUGUCCUCCUCUUUAUUCAGUUCUUCAUGCUCCUUGAUUUCUUCAAUCAACUCUAAAAUUAAAGUAAAAAUUGUAAAUAUUCAGUAAAUCCAGAAAAAUGAACUCUGAAGAAACAGUGGAAAGUAGGCAACUGCUAUAUGUUUACAAGUUUAUAUUAUCAUUUUGAUGCAUUUUACACUACCUUAGUGACCCUGAAACUUUCCAAUUACACUAUUAUCUAAAAUAAAUUUAGUAAAAAAUAAAUAAUUACCAAGUUUAUUCAAAGUGUCAACAUUAUUUGCUGCUUCAACUAUAUUAUUGUACAGCUUUUAAUUUAUUUCCUACUGCAACAAAAUUAAAACUGCUUAAAGUAUAUAUUCUUAUGUUUUUCAGUCUCAUUGAUGAAGGAUGAAGAUUAAACAGCAACCUGUUUGUUCUUCAGUGUGUCUGAUUCUGCAGGGUUCUGGAUCUCUCAUGUUCUCUCUGUCCUUCAAUAAACUCUGUCUCUGCAGAUUUCACUUCUUCCUGAUGCUUUGAUGCUCGUCUUCACUUGUAGACUGAUGGGAAUAUUCCAGCAUUUAUUGAUGAACUGCAGUGGGAGGAUUAAUGUAAACAUGUGUCACGACGCUCGCGUGGUAUACCCUAAACACAACAACGAUGAAAAUGAAGA